CUCCUGCGCGGUCCGAGAGGUGCCCUCGGUGGCUGGUACCGGGGGCGCGCGGGCCGCGCAGGGAGAGCGCGGAGGAAGCCGAGGCACGGCCGCCGAGCGCGCAGGCUGCGUGUGUGUUGUUCCUCCCACAGGACAGCCUGUUGCCACGGAGAUAAUGACUCUGCCCGUGUCAUUAUUGAUCAGUCAACAGCGAGAGCAACUCUGCAGUCCGAUAUUGCUCAGCACAUUGAGUAGUGCCUGCUGAGCACUUAAAACUGCCAUACAU
rnacentral:snoRNA from 1 species